rnacentral:lncRNA from 1 species
GGUGGUGUAAUAUUAUUGGACCAAAAAGAAUUAAAGCAAAGGUAUAUUUAUUUAUUAUUUUCUUGUCAGAUUGUAAGGAAUUGUUGCCUGCGAAAAUAAAAUUGAAUUUUUUUUUCUUUACUUUCGUCUCUGCCUAACUCACACUAUUCACAAACCUAAGACCCCGUUUACCCACCGACCCUAGCACAAGUGACAAAGGACUUGAUGGUUGAUACUUGAGGACCCAAAUUCAAAUCCUCCUUGAUUCACAUUUCUAGCUAAGUAUAUUUCUAAAUAAAAUAAACAAAGCGAAUAUCUUAUUACCUAUCUCUCAAAAAAAAAAAAAAAAAAAAAAAAAAAGGCCCUGUUUGAAUUGGGUACAAUUAGGGUGAUAAGAGCCUUAUUCCCCCGGUUGUACCCAAAUAAAAAUUUUGGGUGGGAACAAGCUUGUUCCCACCCACCCCCCACUGGUAGAGAGAGAGAGAGAGUUUUCUUUUAAAAUAAAAUUUAAAUUUUUAAAAUUUACAAAUUGAAAAUUGAAAUUUAGAAUUUAAAAUUCUAAAUUUUAAAGUUUAAAUUUUAAUUUGAUGUUUUAAAUUUUUAAAUUUUAAAUUUGAUAUUUUAUAUAUUUCAAAUUUAAAUUUGGCCUUAAAUUUAAAUUUUGAAAUUUAAAAUUUAAAAUUUAAAAUUUUUAAAUUUGAAGAUAUAAAUUUUUAAUUUGUAUUUCAAUUUUUAAAAUUUAAAAGUUAAAAUUUUAAAUUUAAAUUAUAAAUGUAAAAUUUAAAAAUUUAAAUUCAAAUAUAAUGAGAGAGGUAAUAUAAUUAUUUUCUAUUUAUAACUAUCCAUUAUACUUCUUAUUCGAUUUUAUCUAUCCAAACACUAUUUUUUCUUAUUCUCGAAAACAACCUAAUUUUCAUCCAAAUACAAAAUUUGUCUAGUUCUCGCUUAUACUUGAACUUGUAUCUAUUUCUAGAAUAAACAGUUCUUAUUUAUACCCGAACCAAACGAAGCUUAAAAGAAUGUUAUAGUGAAUUUUUGAAGAAGUUAUAUAUAUAUUUCAUUUAAGGGAUUGAAAAAAAUACUUAUGUUGUGACGAGAUAUACAAAGUUAAACAUAUUAUUUGAGUAGGCAGUACGUAGAUUAAUCUUAAUUUAACUGAAAAUAUGCAAUCAGAAAGAAAAGUAUAAUCUAAUAAAAAAUUUUGAAAUUUUUUAAAUUAAGUAGAAAUAAAUAAUACAUGCUUUAUCAUAGUAUUAGGUCAAAAUAUAGUGGAGGAAUAUAAAACAAAAUUAUAUUAUUAUUUUCUAGUGAGAUUCUAGUAAGGAGUUGCCAUUGACAAAUAUCAACUUCAAUAUUUUCAUUUCAUACUUUCUUGGCAUACUAAAUUCAACCCUUUCACACACCAAAUAGAAAUUAGAGUAGAUUUUUGAAAAAAUAUAUUAUAUAGAGUGGAGUUACUAUACUAUUAGAAGCAUAAAGGAUUUAGUGUUUAUGACUUUUUAGCCUUUAAAUCAGCACCUUUAAUUAUUUCUAAUUUUUUAAUUAAUACCAUUAUUCUGUGGGAACCACUCAAUCCUAGUAGGAGUAUUACUCAAUCUUAGAGGGGACCGCAAUUAUUCCAAUCAUAUAAUUAUUGAUCCAAGGGUCAAAAAAAUAGAAAGCAUUAAAUCAUGUAUGCUUUCAAUAGUAUAGUAGCUCCAUACAAUUAUAUAUAUUCUAACUGUGAGUUAUAAAAAUACACUUAUACAGUAAUAGAGAUGUACAAAAUUAAGUGUAUUAUUUUAGUACGUAAUAUGUAAAUUUAUU